rnacentral:rRNA from 1 species
CCUACGGGUGGCAGCAGUGAGGAAUAUUGGUCAAUGGGCGCGAGCCUGAACCAGCCAAGUAGCGUGAAGGAUGACUGCCCUACGGGUUGUAAACUUCUUUUAUAAAGGAAUAAAGUGAGGCACGUGUGCCUUUUUGUAUGUACUUUAUAAAUAAGGAUCGGCUAACUCCGUGCCAGGAGCCGCGGUAAUACGGAGGAUCCGAGCGUUAUCCGGAUUUAUUGGUUUUAAAGGGAGCGUAGAUGGGUUGUUAAGUCAGUUGUGAAAGUUUGCGGCUCAACCGUAAAAGUGCAAUUGAUACUGGCAGUCUUGAGUACAGAUGAGGUAGGCGGAAUUCGUGGUGUAGCGGUGAAAUGCUUAGAUAUCACGAAGAACUCCGAUUGCGAAGGCAGCUUACUAAACUGUGACUGACAUUGAUGCUCGAAAGUGUGGGUAUCAAACAGGAUUAGAUACCCCAGUAGUC